CGAAGCUUUGGCCUGAACUAGGAC
rnacentral:siRNA from 1 species